UACGGAGGGUGCAAGCGUUGUCCGGAUUUAUUGGGUUUAAAGGGCGCGUAGGCGGCUUGAUAAGCGUGCGGUGAAAGCCCGGGGCUCAACCCCGGGUCGGCCGUGCGAACUGUCGAGCUGGAGCACUGUAGAGGCAGGUGGAAUUCCGGGUGUAGCGGUGGAAUGCGUAGAGAUCCGGAAGAACACCGGUGGCGAAGGCGGCCUGCUGGGCAGUGGCUGACGCUGAGGCGCGACAGCGUGGGGAGCAAACAGG
rnacentral:rRNA from 1 species